CUUGACUGUAGCUUGGAAUUGGGUUCGGGCUCUUCUUGCGCAGCCUAGGUGGGAGGCGUUGAAGGUUUUCUUUCGGGAAAACUGGAGCCAACAGUGAGAGACCACUCUGGAGGAGUUAGAAUUCUAAUGGCGUUCCUUGAAGCAGGACGCUUGACAGUUUCAGGUGGGCAGUUUGACUGGGGCGGUCACCUCCUAAAAGGUAACGGAGGUGUGCAAAGGUUCCCUCAGGCUGGACGGAAAUCAGCCGGAGAGUGUAAAGGCAGAAGGGAGCUUGACAGCAAGACCUACAAGUCGAGCAGGGGCGAAAGCCGGCCUUAGUGAUCCGACGGUUCCAUGUGGAAGGGCCGUCGCUCAACGGAUAAAAGUUA
rnacentral:rRNA from 1 species